CUGUCAUCAGGAAUUUGGUCCGACUCCCACGCACUCCUAGAGGCAGCGAGGGGGAGGGGAAGGAUGCGGGAGGCAGAACUCCUGAGGGAGAGGAUGUGGCUGUCGGGCGGCUCUCCCAGGCUCCCUGCCUUGCACAGGCUGUGGGAGGGGACCACGGGAGGCGAGGCGGCUACUCUGGUCUCCAGAGAUUGACUCCCGCUGACUGCCCCCCCGCCCCGGCCCCAGGUCGCUGGGGAGGGACCCUUGGGAGAGACAGCAGAGGCUGGGAGGAUGCAGCCCGCCUUAUGCUGGCUGGAGGAAGGCCUCCCCGUUUCACACUCAUCCCGCCUGGGGGCAGGGCCCGGCGCUCCAGGGUCCAGCCGGCCCAGGACUGGGCUCCGCACCACACUCGCCCCCCAACUUAUCCCCCACCCUGCCACUGGGGCUGUGGCACAGAGAUGGCAAACACCCCCCAAGGCCUUGUGCCAGGUAAUUACCAAGCAAAUUCCCGGCGAUUUCCUCUCCCCACCCUGGGCAGCGCCUGCUGCGCGUUCCCUGAUUCGGGCCCCGGCUGUGCAAUCAGCGCCCGGGAACCUGCGGGGACCCGUAAUUGCUCUGGAGUUGCCCAGGACUUUGCAAGGAUUUGCUGAGCUCUCCUGUGAAGUCAGAGUCAAUUUGGAGGCCUGCGCCUGACCCGGAAGCCUGCCAAGUGGGUGUGGGACGCCGCUUCCUCCAGCAGAGAGCGCAGUGCACGCCCUGGCUCACCGUCCUCCCUCCCGGGGGCUGUUCCCACUGUCGUGCUAAACACCAUCAGGGCUGUUAUUAAUAAUCCCGGGGCCUGUCAGGGUUGAAUGGAGGCAAGAACUGAAGCUGGCCUCUUCCAUCUGGACCCCAGAAGCUUCUUCAGUAGUUUCCUAUCUCCCUCGUACAAGCCUCCUCACUCAGAUGUACUCCUGAGCUGUACACAUAUCAUGUGCGUGCGCACAUGUGCGCACCCCAACCUAUACUUCAGCCACACCAUCUUCCCCACAAUUGCAUGUGCCCUCACCGAGCGCACACAGUGUGGGAGUACCAGCUCUUGCUUUGGGGUCAGACUGACCUGGAUUCAAGUCCUACCCCGCCACUUACUAGCCCUGCCAUCCCCCGUAAGUCACUCUACUUUUUUGGAGCCUCAGAAGAUUUGUAGACCGGAAAGAGGCAGAGCACCUGUCUCUCCUCGCGUUGCUGUUGAGAGAGAAGAUUAAAUGAGAUGAUGUGAAACAUUGGAGGAAGCAAGCAAUUAAAACAGACGUCGCUGCUACUAUUUCUAGCCUCUCUUUGAGAUUUUGCACGGGUAAUUGCUUCUGUAAAAAUUUCUCCCAUCAGAGCUGCAAAUCAAGACUCUUCUCAAUCCCCAAGGCCCAGUCUACACCCCAGUUUUGCCCCACCCAGCACCACCUUCUCCUUUUGGCCCCCGCCUCAACUGCGUGUAUCUCUUAGAGGUGUUUUCAUGUUGGAUUUGAGCUCUCAUUUUGAACUGGAGAAAAGCAGGGAUUUUGUCACCUUCAUCAUUUUAUCUCCUUUGCUCCAAUCCUGGAGUUUAGAACUAUACACACCUUAUACAUAGUAGGUCUGCAAUACGUGUUUGUCUACUUUUCAAAAUAAUAGAUACCAUUUAGUGAACAAUUACUAUGUGCCUCUUUCUUUUCCUUGU
rnacentral:lncRNA from 1 species